CUUGAGAAAGCCCUAACGGGAGACAUGCGUUGUGGAAAUUUUAACUAACUGUAUUUUAAUAAAGGUAUUUUGGCCACUUUCUUUGUUGUGAGUUAGCCAUUUUAUCUUUUUUACCAUUUUUAUUAUUUUACUACCUGGCAUCUGAGUUUUACUUGUUCCAGAGAGAUACUACUCCAAAGCAUCCUUGGUGGGGAUUAUACCACUUACGCCGUAUCAAUGAGCA